AUCCUAUUCUUCUCCACAUUGAAGCGUAAGUUUGACACGGCUGUCUAAAAAAUGGUGGUAAAGUGUAAGUAGACACGGCUCCGAAAAAUGGAGCUUUAUAGGCUGGCUGAUGUGACCUCACCAAACUUCAGAUAUUUGAAAUUGAAUAUAUGAACUUCGAUCUCACUAUUCUGAAUUAGAGCAGUCAGAGGCCACCACAUAAACUCUUUAAACCCAACGCCAAAAAAUCAAUAAUCCCUCGACUUCUUUUCACGUCAACGGCUGCCAAAUUUUAGACGAACACCAAAAAUGGAUUCAAUCAGUAAAACUAAGCUAUUUUACUUCCAAGAUAUGUUGACUCUUCAGUCGAAGUCCUCAUUCAUUUCUCAGUUUCAGGGAGAAGACAAUAGGAGUGCUUUGAUAUUGGAAUCCACCAUUUUUCAUCCACAAGGAGGUGGGCAGCCAUCAGACAUUGGGUUCAUUUCGAAUGAGGAAUCCGAUUUCAAAUUCAUUGUUGAUGAUGUUAGAUCAAAAGAUGGAGUGGUAUUCCAUUAUGGGUGUUUUGAUAGUUCUAGUGGUGGUGAACCGGAACUUGAAAAGGGGCAAGAAGUUUGCUUAUUUGUUGAUGAAAAGCGAAGAAUUCUUAAUUCUAGGUUGCAUUCAGCUGGACAUUUGUUGGAUACUUGCAUGCAAAAUGUGGGUUUAGGAAAUUUAGAGCCAACCAAAGGUUACCAUUUCUCUGAUGGGCCAUUUGUUGAGUAUAAAGGCAUAAUUCCGCAAAAUGAAUUGCAAAGUAAACAAAAGGAGCUGGAGCUCGAAGCAAAUGCGUUAAUAUCCAGAGGGGGAAAGGUUCUUGUUGCUGUUCUUCCAUAUGACGAAGCUUCAGAGUUAUGCGGUGGGUCUCUUCCUGAUUAUAUCUCCAAGAGUAGUACACCUCGUGUCGUGAAGAUGGGGAAUAGUCCAGGCUGCCCAUGUGGGGGGACUCAUGUUUCUGAUAUCAGGGAGAUCAAGAACUUGAAGGUUACCCAGAUCCGUGUAAAGAAGGGUUGCACAAAAGUGUUCUAUACCAUAGAAAUCUAACCUUGUCAGGUUCCAUUUGAAGAGAAGAAUCCAGAGUCAACUCGUAACAAGUUUAAAGAUGCGCAGCUCUUCUUUAAAAUGGAGUUCAGCAGUUUCAUGCAUGGUGGGGUCAAGCCGUGGGAGAAUGACUCUAUUGUCGCGUACGCAUUACUCACUGGCUUUCUCUAUCAAUUUCCAUAUAUAUCUUCACGCACUCUAGCUAUGACUCUCAGAGCUAUAAAUGCAAAUCUCAUCAAUAAAUUACUCCAAGUUACCAUCUACAAACGGGAACUGCCAACUGUUGCGGUUGGACAAGAGAGAAAGUACAUGCAGUUAGUGGAGACUUGAAACAAACAAUAGAUAGAAGUUCAUCUCUAUUCAUUUAUGUGCAUACUUGGUUUUUAUCAUCAUUUAAGAAACACCCUUUUGUUCUUUCUUUUACUCCACUGAUUUCAUAUUGCUAUAAAUUUGAUGAUCACCCUUGUGAACAAAUGCGCAACCAUUUGAACUGUUCAUCACACACCACCGAAAAAUUCUAAGACAAGAAAUAAAAUGAAGAAGCAGCAGCAGAUCACUAAUUUGUUCUUCUUUC